rnacentral:rRNA from 1 species
UGGGGAAUUUUGGACAAUGGGGGCAACCCUGAUACAGCAAUGCCGCGUGUGUGAAGAAGGCCUUCGGGUUGUAAAGCACUUUUGUCCGGGAAGAAAUCGCACCUGAUAAUACCGGGUGUGGAUGACGGUACCGGAAGAAUAAGGACCGGCUAACUACGUGCCAGCAGCCGCGGUAAUACGUAGGGUCCAAGCGUUAAUCGGAAUUACUGGGCGUAAAGCGUGCGCAGGCGGUUGUGCAAGACCGAUGUGAAAUCCCCGUGCUUAACCUGGGAAUUGCAUUGGUGACUGCACGGCUAGAAUGUGUCAGGGGGGGGUAGAAUUCCACGUGUAGCAGUGAAAUGCGUAGAGAUGUGGGAGCAUACCGAUGGCGAAGGCAGCCCCCUGGGAUAACACUGACGCUCAUGCACGAAAGCGUGGGGAGCAAACAGU